rnacentral:rRNA from 1 species
AGUCAAGUAAUUAAGUGCAUGUGGUGGAUGCCUUGGCAGUCAGAGGCGAUGAAAGACGUGAUAGCCUGCGAAAAGCUCCGGGGAGGCGGCAAAUAUCCUUUGAUCCGGAGAUGUCUGAAUGGGGGAACCCACCUACUUUAAGGUAGGUAUUGCAACAUGAAUACAUAGUGUUGCAAGGCGAACGAGGGGAAGUGAAACAUCUCAGUACCCUUAGGAAAAGAAAUCAAUUGAGAUUCCCUCAGUAGCGGCGAGCGAACGGGGAUCAGCCCAUUAAGUUAUGUGUGUUUUAGUGGAACGCUCUGGGAAGUGCGAACGUAGAGGGUGAUAUUCCCGUACACGAAAGGGCACACAUAAUGAUGACGAGUAGGGCGAGGCACGUGAAACCUUGUCUGAAUAUGGGGGGACCAUCCUCCAAGGCUAAAUACUCCUGACUGACCGAUAGUGAACCAGUACCGUGAGGGAAAGGCGAAAAGAACCCCUGUGAGGGGAGUGAAAUAGAUCCUGAAACCGCAUGCAUACAAGCAGUGGGAGCACCUUCGUGGUGUGACUGCGUACCUUUUGUAUAAUGGGUCAGCGACUUAUAUUCAGUAGCGAGGUUAACCGUAUAGGGGAGCCGUAGAGAAAUCGAGUCUUAAUAGGGCGUUUAGUUGCUGGGUAUAGACCCGAAACCAGGCGAUCUAUCCAUGAGCAGGUUGAAGGUUGGGUAACACUAACUGGAGGACCGAACCCACUGUCGUUGAAAAGCCAGGGGAUGACUUGUGGAUAGGGGUGAAAGGCUAAUCAAGCCUGGUGAUAGCUGGUUCUCCCCGAAAGCUAUUUAGGUAGCGCCUCGGACGAAUACCAUAGGGGGUAGAGCACUGUUUCGGCUAGGGGGUCAUCCCGACUUACCAAACCGAUGCAAACUCCGAAUACCUAUGAGUACUAUCCGGGAGACAGACUGCGGGUGCUAACGUCCGUAGUCAAGAGGAAAACAAUCCAGACCGCCAGCUAAGGCCCCAAAAUCAUAGUUAAGUGGGAAACGAUGUGGGAAGGCAUAGACAGCUAGGAGGUUGGCUUAGAAGCAGCCACCCUUUAAAGAAAGCGUAAUAGCUCACUAGUCGAGUCGGCCUGCGCGGAAGAUGUAACGGGGCUAAAACUAUGUGCCGAAGCUGCGGAUGUAUACUUUGUAUACGUGGUAGGGGAGCGUUCUGUAAGCCGAUGAAGGUGUGUUGAGAAGCAUGCUGGAGGUAUCAGAAGUGCGAAUGCUGACGUGAGUAACGACAAAACGGGUGAAAAACCCGUUCGCCGAAAGACCAAGGGUUCCAGUCCAACGUUAAUCGGGGC